AUUGAACGCUGGCGGCAUGCCUUACACAUGCAAGUCGAACGGCAGCACGGGAGCAAUCCUGGUGGCGAGUGGCGAACGGGUGAGUAAUAUAUCGGAACGUGCCCAGUCGUGGGGAUAACGUAGCGAAAGCUACGCUAAUACCGCAUACGAUCUAUGGAUGAAAGCGGGGGAUCGCAGACCUCGCGCGAUUGGAGCGGCCGAUAUCAGAUUAGGUAGUUGGUGAGGUAAAGGCUCACCAAGCCGACGAUCUGUAGCUGGUCUGAGAGGACGACCAGCCACACUGGGACUGAGACACGGCCCAGACUCCUACGGGAGGCAGCAGUGGGGAAUUUUGGACAAUGGGCGCAAGCCUGAUCCAGCAAUGCCGCGUGCAGGAUGAAGG
rnacentral:rRNA from 1 species